UGACAGCUGGAUGACUACGGCUACAAGCUGUGGGAGAUUAAUCACUGACUCAAUCAAUUUCAGCUCGACAAUCGGGAUCCAUCCGGCAUUCUUGGCAUCAAUACUCAUCCUCCAUUUUUUGGAUGAAUUUUGGACAAAUUGAUUCCAGCUCGAUUCAAAAUACCGCGGAUGGAGCCUUACGAUGGCUUCACUAAUCUGCUCAAUCAUUUGGAGAGCUACAAGGUUCUCAUGAUGCUUCAAGAGGCUUCUGACACCCUUCUCUGCAUAGCCUUCUCAAUGAUCCUUCAAAAAACUAUUGGAGCUUGGUACUCCAGGCUUCAACUG
rnacentral:lncRNA from 1 species